rnacentral:rRNA from 1 species
GACGAACCGUGCGAACGUUGUUCGGAUUCACUGGGCUUAAAGGGCGCGUAGGCGGGCCAUCAAGUCCGGGGUGAAAUCCUCCAGCUUAACUGGAGAACAGCCUUGGAUACUGGUGGUCUGGAGGAAGGUAGGGGCAUGUGGAACUAAUGGUGGAGCGGUGAAAUGCGUAGAUAUCAUUAGGAACGCCGGUGGCGAAAGCGGCAUCCUGGACCAACACUGACGCUGAGGAGCGAAAGCCAGGGGAGCAAACGGG